rnacentral:rRNA from 1 species
UACGUAGGGGGCAAGCGUUGUCCGGAUUUACUGGGCGUAAAGAGCGUGUAGGCGGCCAAGCAGGUCCGUUGUGAAAACUGGAGGCUUAACCUCCAGACGUCGACGGAAACCGCGUGGCUAGAGUCCGGGAGAGGAGAGUGGAAUUCCUGGUGUAGCGGUGAAAUGCGCAGAUAUCAGGAAGAACACCCGUGGCGAAAGCGGCUCUCUGGAACGGUACUGACGCUGAGACGCGAAAGCGUGGGGAGCGAACAGG